CACCCUCAGACCUUACCACCACGAUCUCCACCACCUGCUGCUGAUAUUCUGGAUUGUAACAUCUGUGAGGGGCAUGUUGCCAGAUUUUAUAAUGGUUUGGUUAAGCACAUGCCAGAUUUUAUAAUGGUUUGGUUAAGCACAUGUCUGGGCAUAAGAACAAGUUUAAGUUUCAGUGUAAGAAGAAAAGGUAUCUUGGUGACCAUCAGAAGCAUGUAUGUACCGACCGUGUUUUUUACACCAGGCGGUUGCAUGAAAUUCAUCUUAAAAAUGUUCCUCACUUAAAUGAGUCAGUUUGUGUUGUGUUGAUGACUGCUUGAGGUACAUUUUUUGUUUUGUUUUGAUUUGAUGGUUGAUAGUGUUUUUCUAGUUAAAUGUUGCUACUAGUUAGGGUUCAAAUGUUCAACUUGAUUGGUGUUUUCCCCCCAAAUCUAUGAGUGAAAGUUCUUUUGCAUUACUUCUUGUCUGUGUUAUUAUAGGUUUUUGUAUGCUGUGCUAUGGAAUAUGGAUCGGAAAAGACACGAUGAAGGGUGCUAAUUUAGGGUAUUCCUUCAUCGCACAUUUGUUGUUUGUUUGUACUUCUUUAACUAGAUGGAUAAUAGUACUAGUUUUUCUUUUUGCUUUUCAUGAACAACAAGUUUGGGGUUUUUAGUUGUAAUGACUUCUUUAGUUAAGUUGAAUGGACUAUGAUUCUUGGAUCUAUUGUUGGUUUAUUCAGUAUUAUAUAUGGGUUGUUUUUAGCAUUUGUUGAGUAUUUAAAUUUUUGUUUUGAUUUGUUAUGUUCAUUCUACUACUACUACUUUGUUGGCAUGUUUAUUAGGGUUUAUGUUAGCAUUCCAUGAUUUGGGUAUUUUGCUUUUGUUGUUUUUAAUUUUAUUAUGUUCAUUCUUCAGUUUGUUUUUGCUUUACUGUUCUUCUCCUUGAUUCAAAAUCAAGCUUUUGUCGUCUCUCUCAUGGUUCUGGACAUCUUGUUCUUACCAUUACUUGGAAGACCAUAAAAGUUCAGAUAUGGAUGAAU
rnacentral:lncRNA from 1 species